GUGAGCGUAGCUCAAUGGCAGAGCACUGGACUGUGGCUCCAGGGGUUGAGGGUUCGAGUCCCUUCGUUCACC
rnacentral:tRNA from 1 species